AUCCUACUGACGAGUGUUAAAUACGACGAAAUGCGUGUCUUGGAU
rnacentral:hammerhead_ribozyme from 1 species